rnacentral:misc_RNA from 1 species
GCAAACUUGGUCAUUUAGAGGAAGUAAAAGUCGUAACAAGGUUUCCGUAGGUGAACCUGCGGAAGGAUCAAUAGCAAAAAGAGUGGUGGUGGUAGUGGUGGUGAGGGUGAUGUGAGGUGCAUGGUAGUGCAUUGCACGCCAUGCGCACACGCACAAGCACGCACGCACGCACACACACAUACACUACACAAGUGCGGGCGACGCUCAAGUCGGUCGUCCAGUGCUCUUGGUUCGCCAAGAGUUACAUUUGCGCAUCGUUUAUUUUGUUUGUUGGGUUGACUGACUAAAUUGAAAGAAAUUAUAAACAACUUUUAACAAUGGAUCUCUUGGCUCUUGCAUCGAUGAAGAACGCAGC